rnacentral:lncRNA from 1 species
UGACUUGAGUGUUGCAAGAGUAAUGUUGUUGAAAGUGUCCCAAACAGCAUAUAACUGAGUGUUGCAAGAGUAAUGUUGUUGAAAGUGUCCCAAACAGCAUAUGACUGAGUGUUGCAAGAGUAAUGUUGUUGAAAGUGUUCCAAACAGCAUAUGACUGAGUGUUGCAAGAGUAAUGUUAUUGUAAGUGUCCCAAACAGCAUAUGACUGAGUGUUACAAAAGUAAUGUUGUUGAAAGUGUUCCAAACAGCAUAUAACUGAGUGUUACAAAAGUAAUGUUGUUGAAAUUGUCUCAAACAGCAUAUGACUGAGUGUUACAAAAGUAAUGUUGUUGAAAGUGUUCCAAACAGCAUAUGACUGAGUGUUACAAGAGUAAGAUUAUUGAAAGUGUCCCAAACAGCAUAUGACUGAGUGUUGCAAGAGUAAUGUUGUUGAAAGUGUUCCAAACAGCAUAUGACUGAGUGUUGCAAGAGUAAUGUUAUUGUAAGUGUCCCAAACAGCAUAUGACUGAGUGUUACAAAAGUAAUGUUGUUGAAAGUGUUCCAAACAGCAUAUGACUGAGUGUUACAAGAGUAAGAUUAUUGAAAGUGUCCCAAACAGCAUAUGACUGAGUGUUGCAAGAGUAAUGUUGUUGAAAGUGUUCCAAACAGCAUAUGACUGAGUGUUGCAAGAGUAAUGUUAUUGUAAGUGUCCCAAACAGCAUAUGAUUGAGUGUUGCAAGAGUAAUGUUAUUGUAAGUGUCCCAAACAGCAUAUGACUGAGUGUUGCAAGAGUAAUGUUGUUGAAAGUGUUCCAAACAGCAUAUGACUGAGUGUUACAAGAGUAAGAUUAUUGAAAGUGUCCCAAACAGCAUAUGACUGAGUGUUGCAAGAGUAAUGUUGUUGAAAGUGUUCCAAACAGCAUAUGACUGAGUGUUGCAAGAGUAAUGUUAUUGUAAGUGUCCCAAACAGCAUAUGACUGAGUGUUACAAAAGUAAUGUUGUUGAAAGUGUCCCAAACAGCAUAUGACUGAGUGUUGCAAGAGUAAUGUUGUUGAAAGUGUUCCAAACAGCACAUGACUGAGUGUUGCAAGAGUAAGGUUGUUGAAGGUGUAAGUGUCCUAAACAAGUUAUGACCAAGUGUUAGAGUAAUGUUGUCUAGGGGUACCAAACAUCUGUUCCGUUAUCGCUGACUACUGUAUAUAAACUACAAAAACCUCCAUACAUUGGCAGCUUCAUGGGUUAGAUGACGAUGCACAACAUAAAUGAUUGGGAAUACAUGAAAUAAAUAGUUUUUGAAGGGAAUCCAUUUUUUUUUUCGCUAUUAAAAAUAUUUUACAAGCACCUGGUCAGUGAUAUUAAUGGUUUGAGACUCAGAUGUAUAUUAAAAGUGUGGGCUCUGAUAUUCUAGUUGCCAUAUACAUAUACAGUCUCAAUAUGCCGUGUGUGCAUAUCAAAUAAAACAUCAUAACUGAACUUGUUGAAUAAACACACUACAGUAUAUAGUCAUUAUAUUGUACAGUUAACAUAUAAGGAAAAAUGUAUAAUCUAAAUAAAAAAAUAUAUAAGUAAUUAA